UAAUAUUCAAAGAUUUGUUCAUUGCAAACUAAAGGGACUUCGAACGGACGAGCCAAAAGAUGAAAUCAUCAAUUGUUAUCGUCUGUUUGUUGGUUUUGACCAUUCAUCAAGUAGUACAAAGCAAUGUUGACGCCGCUGAUCCUAUCUCUGUCUCUCUCGGUAACUCCUCCACUACACCAGUAACUACAACAACCAUCAAAGCUGUGACUCCGGGGAACAAUGGGGCAGCAAGCGAAGGUGAAACAGGAGACAAACCUGUAACAGGAGACGGAAAUAAGACAGGUGAUGGUAGUGGGACAGGAAGCGGAGGUAAAACAGGCGACGGAAGUAAGACAGGAAGCGGAAGUAAGACAGGAAGCGGAAGUAAGACAGGAAGCGGAAGUGGGACAGGAGGCGGGGCAGAUGCUGUGUCGCUCAACUUUUUUGUGUUUGCCUUGACUGUAUUUUGUGCACAUUUUAUUUAGUUUUUUGAGAACUAACUGACUUUAAAUUAUUGUGACGGCAUAUGAUCAAAUGAUCCUUGGGAGGCAAAUCCAAAUUUAUCUGUUUUGUGAUGCUCUAACAAUUGUACUUUAUCAUUCAUUUUAAAUGAUCUAUUUAUAUAUAUGUUGUAUGCAAGCAAGUUAUUAUAAUUAAUCAAUUUUUUUUCAAAUAUCAAAUCUCUUAAGAUUCCUUUUAACAAUCAAAAUCAUAAAUGGAAGACCUUGUUCUUUUUGUUUUAAUGACCUUUUAUUUUUUUCUUAAACAAACUUUUUCAAAACCCAAUAUAUCAAAAACAUAGGGACGGAUUUUCACAAAAGUAUCAAAGAUAAAAGUCAGUAUCUAAAGCUAUGCAUACGUAUCUUUUCGCAUAUGACGUCACUUUCGUUCGUCAACAUUGCUCAAUGUAGUUUCUUUCAAAAAGUAAUUUUGUCAAGUAAAUGUUUAGAGAAUACUUAAAGAUAAAAACUUAAAAUUUU